rnacentral:rRNA from 1 species
GAUGAACGCUGGCGGCGUGCCUAAUACAUGCAAGUAGAACGAUGAGAGAGGGGCUUGGCCUUCUGGAUGAGUGGCGCAGGGGGGAGUGAAGCGUAGGGAAAAUGCAUGGAAGAGGGGGAGAAAAAUUGGAAAAGAUAGCUAAUACAGCAUAAAAGAAGAUGUUGCAUGAGAUUUACUAAAAAGAUGCAAUUGCACCACUACCAGAUGGAGCUGCGUCGUAUUAGCUAGUUGGUGGGGUAACGGCUCACCAAGGCGACGAUGCGUAGCCGACCUGAGAGGGUUAUCGGCCACACUGGAACUGAGACACGGUCCAGACUCCUACGGGAGGCAGCAGUAGGGAAUCUUCCGCAAUGGGCGGAAGCCUGACCGAGCAACGCCGCGUGAGUGAUGAAGGUUUUCGGAUCGUAAAACUCUGUUAUUAGGGAAGAACAAAUGUGUAAGUAAAUAUUCCCCUCUUGACCGUAACUUAUCCGAAAGCCGCCGCUAAAUUCCUU